rnacentral:lncRNA from 1 species
AAAUCUAAUAUUUAGUGUCAAAUCUUGUUAUUUUAAUAAAAAAAAUUAUUUUAAUCUCUCAUUUACAUAAAAAUAUAAUUUAUGUAAUUUUUACAGGGUUUUACAAAGCCAUUAGGUAUUUUUAAAUUAAAAUUGCAUUAAAUUGCAAUUUUAGCCUAUUUAUCAAUUUAACGACUAUUUCAAGUCUAAAAUUAUUCUUAGUAUUUUUAAUUAAUUUCUAAACGUAUUUUAUUAUCUCAAUAAUUUUAUUGGAUUUUUAUAGAAUGGUUUACUAUUUUUUAAAAUUAAAUUUGUGAAAAUUGGUUAUUUAAAUGGUAGCCUUUUGCUCUUUCAAUUAUAGCCACAUUUCACCCCCAAUUACCUAACCCAACCUAAAAAUUACCCGACCCCAAACCCAUCUAAACUAACCCGCCCCAUUCUUCUUUUAAUCCUGGUCGCUGAUCUCACAGAUCAACGACCCUCAAUUCACUUAUCUUAAUUAAACCCUCACAACCCCCUAACCCUAAUCAAUUACACCCAAACGGGCCGCCUUUCACUCCCAAAUAUCUCUAGUGUCUGUGAGAACCCUAGUCUUCUCCAGUCCUCUUCACCGGCGUCAAUGGCCAUUCAGGGCCUAAAACUUCCAUGCUCGUCCGUUCAUCACAUAUUCUGGCCUUUGGGUUCGAAGAUUGGGACUUUGUCUCGAGGGUAACUGGACCAGAACUCCUUCAAUGGAGUUUCAUGGCUGUUCUACGGUGAGCCUUUGAAGCCUUGGAUCUUUUCCAAGCUCCGAUGGGUCGUUCAUGCUUUUCUCGCCAUUUCUGAGGUUUUUUAUGAAAACCUUAAUGAUUCGAGGUUCCUCCUUUCAUUUUUCUCUAUGUUAUCUUACGAUUUUCUUUGAGUAAUAGGUGUUUUCUAAAACUUUUUAAGUGUUUCUCACCUCUUUCUUCACUUAGUCAUGAUUUCAAAACUGUUCGUUUUAGAACCUGGGGUUUUCUAGGACUUAUCCGAUUUCUUUGAUUUUUUGUUGUUUAUUCUUGCUACUAGGUGUUCUUCUCCGUGAUUUUGAAAUUUUCAAUUUUGGCUCUAAAGUUUUUUAUCUCACUGCCUACCUUUCUAGGGUUUUUGGUUAAAAUUGUUCUAUGCUUUCUUUAUAGUGUUCUGCUCUUGUUCGUUUUCAUCUAUGAUAUUCCUUGUGUUUUGACCGGUAGCGGGAAUCCUAAUCUCUAAAAGGUAUUCUCCAUUCCUUGUUCUGUGUGAAACCCUAGCCAGCCCUGUUUGCUUCUUGUGUUUGCUACCCGUCUGCUCUAUUAUUCGUUAGUCUCUAGUAUAUUCAAAACUUAUGCAUCUUUAUACUACUGCUUUUCCCCUUUCCCUGAAACCCUAAAAUUGAUUUUGUACAACUGUUUGUUUUGAUUCUCUAAUUGCUCCUUGUUUCUUGACUAUUUUCAAAAGAUUGAUAUCUUGACUCCUUGAUUUCCUGGGUGAUUACUUGCCUUAUAUGCCCUACCCAUGUGAUUUUCAAAUUUCUUAUGAGUAUUUACCCUAUAUUCUGUGAUUAAUACUAUAUUUUCUUUCCAAAAUUAGACCUGGGUUUAUUUAUUUUCCCAUUCGGUUCCUUAAUUGAAGGGGUUCCCUUCUCCUUAAUUGAUACUGAUGGAUUUCUGAAUAUUUCCUUACCUUACUGUUGCUUGUCUUUCAACUAUAAAUAGGCCCUCUCUUUUCUCACUUGAGAACAACUCAUUCUCGAGUCCUCUCUACUCUAGCUCACAAAAACUCUCUGCUUUUUCUCUUCCUUGCUACUUGCUAUCUCUCUGCUAAAGUUAGCCGGCUGAAAGCCAAGGCUAACUAUAAGGAUUUUCUUUGUUGUGUUACUCAAACCUGCACUAGUAGGCUCCUAACUCCAUUUAUUAACUUUCAAGUAUUUGUUUUCUCUCCCUUCUUCUUUGUCUGUUAGAACCUGCACUGGUAGGCUCCUAACUCAAUUUAUUAACUUUCAAGUAUUUGUUUGCUCUUCCUUCUUCUUUUUUUGUUAUGUUAUUGCAAUUAAGCUUGCAUGAUCAACCCCUUCCCCUUACCCUUUUGUCUUCCUGUAUUUGAGUGUCAGCAUGUCAAUUUCCUCCCCCCCCCCCUUCCCUUUGUCCCCUUAUCUGUAUAUGCUCAAGAUAGUCCUGAACCAUUACCCUUAACUGUGUAUACCUUCAGCAUGUUAAUCCCUGAUUCCCAUUUCCCCUUGGGUGCCUACAUUCAAUGUUUUGUUAAAUCCAGCAUAUUGAAUACUUUCCUUUGAUUGUACACUAUUAUGCUUUAAUUUAAUCUUGUCUGCUAAGUGUUUAUAUGAUUUCCUUGCUCCUUGUUUGUAUGUGAGUUGUUCUGGACAAGGGUGGCACCCUAUUGCCAUUUCUAGUUCAGAACUAAGGUUGCCAAUAGCCUUAUGCGUUUGAGACUGGAAAAAGGCAUGUUAGUGUCUUAAUCACCUUCCAGGCCCUUGUCUGGCUUCGGCUGUCAAUAGCCUUUCUCAAAGCAAUCCCAUCCCCCAUCCCCUCUCUUAUGUGUUUGAGCCUGGAAAAAGGCAUGUUGGUGUCUUAAUCACCUCCCAGUACCAUGUUUGACUUGUUUACAAGUCUGCUCUUGUUUGUAAUCUUUGUAAGGAGUCUGGGGUUUGCCAGUCUCAUUCAAUAGGCUGGGUAUGACCACUUCAUACACUGGUUUCCCUUUAAUCCUCA